GACGAACGCUGGCGGCGUGCCUAACACAUGCAAGUCGAGCGGAGAUGAUGUGAGGAAGUUUUCGGAUGGAAUCACAUUAUUUUAGCGGCGGACGGGUGAGUAACGCGUGAGCGACCAACCUUGCACAGGGGGAUAACGGACCGAAAGGUUCACUAAUACCGCAUGAGACCACGGUGUUGCAUGACACAGGGGUCAAAGGAGAGAUCCGGUGCAAGACGGGCUCGCGUCCGAUUAGGUAGUUGGUGGGGUAACGGCCUACCAAGCCUAUGAUCGGUAGCCGACCUGAGAGGGUGAUCGGCCACAUUGGAACUGGGAUACGGUCCAAACUCCUACGGGAGGCAGCAGUGGGGAAUAUUGGGCAAUGGGGGAAACCCUGACCCAGCAACGCCGCGUGAAGGAAGAAGGUUUUCGGAUCGUAAACCUCUGUUGUACGGGAAGAAGGACUUGACGGUACCGUACGAGGAAGCCCCGGCAAACUCGUG
rnacentral:rRNA from 1 species